UACGAAGGGGGGCUAGCGUUGUUCGGAAUUACUGGGCGUAAAGCGCACGUAGGCGGAUUGUUAAGUGAGGGGUGAAAUCCCAGGGCUCAACCCUGGAACUGCCUCUCAUACUGGCAAUCUCGAGUUCGAGAGAGGUGAGUGGAAUUGCGAGUGUAGAGGUGAAAUUCGUAGAUAUUCGCAGGAACACCAGUGGCGAAGGCGGCUCACUGGCUCGAUACUGACGCUGAGGUGCGAAAGCGUGGGGAGCAAACAGG
rnacentral:rRNA from 1 species